GAUCGGAGGUUAGGGUUUUGAAACCAUUUCUUCUCUGGCCGUGAGAAGUGCCGGAAAAUGGCGUUACGGCAGUUCACCGCUCCAAGAAUGUGGCGAAGAGGUCGCUGAAGAAGUAUGUGGAGGAAGCACAGUACAAAAAGCUCCUCACAAAAUGGUUGCUCAAAGAAGAACAUUCGGCAACUCUCAAAAAGCUUCGCGAUAGGAAGCUGUACAAUCCUGCUUUCAAGAAACUAUGGCCAAAAAGGGGCAUGAACAGGACGGUAAGUGAACAAGCCAUACACAUUGAUUCAGUAGCCAAGGUGUGCGGUUGUAUCAGCAAAAAUGGAUUGUUAUGAACAAGACGGUAAGUGAUGAAGCCUUCAAAUUCAAGCCAUACAUAUUGGGACUUUAUCAAGCUUUCUGGUGUGCAGUUGUAUGAGCAUGGAUUGUUAUGGUUUCUCCUUCUAGUAUGAUUCUCUCUACGCAAGUUUGAUCUUGAUAGUAACAUCUAAACGCCCACCUC